rnacentral:lncRNA from 1 species
CAGGGUCUAAUAGAAAGAAGGACGUUGAGGGAAGGUGACAUGAUCCAUCGGAUCGACAAUGGAGCAAAAGUUGCUGCAGAGACGGUUGACACUUAUCCUCUUCAAUUACCAUCUGAUUUUAGAUUAGAUUUGAAGGACUAUUAUUAUAUUCCUGUAGCUAGUCAAAAUUUAAUUUUUGUAUCUAUGCUAGCAUAGGAAGAUUUCAAAAUUAGUUUCAAUAAAGAUUUUUGUUUCAUUUAUUUAUGAAAUAAAUUGAUUGUAUGAUGUCUUUUAAUUGAC